rnacentral:miRNA from 1 species
UUCCCUGCACUACUGAAAUCUGUUGUUGUGUUGUUUGCCCAUAGCUCAGUACUGGGGAGGUAGAGGCAGGAGGAU